UGUGUGUGUGUGUGUGUGUGUGUGUGUGUGUGUUCGUUGUAGAAGGCUGGUCAAGUCAAGGCGUCGCCAAGAAAAAACCUUCCCCUGAGCGCGUCUUUGUCACAUGGCUGCGUGCGCUGCUUUGGGCUUCAGUCACAUGCGCCCGCGAGUGUGCGUGCAGUAGCCUAAAUGUGGUCCGCGGAUAUGUUUUGCAGCAGCGCGCGCCGUCGUUAAAUUGAAGCAUUCAAACCGAAACAUGAACCCAAACAUCAGAACCGAAAACGAGCUGCUGUCCAGGCGGGAGAGCCCUCGAGGACACGGAGCUGCGCGCGCUGGUUCCAUUUGUUGCUCGUGUGCUCCUGUGUGUCCUGAUGAGUGUCUCCUGAUCGCCCCCUGGAGGCUGCAGGAUGCCGGUGCAGGCGGCCCAGUGGAGCGACUUCCUCUACUGUCCCCUCUGCUACAAGGAGUUUGGUUGUGGUGCUCAUGUCCCCAUCAGCUUGGGCUGCUGCCAUACGCUGU